UACGUAGGGAGCAAGCGUUGUCCGGAUUCACUGGGUGUAAAGGGUGCGCAGGCGGGAGAGUAAGUCAGAGGUGAAAUCUCACAGCUUAACUGUGAAACUGCCUUUGAUACUGCUUUUCUUGAGUUCGGGAGAGGUUGAUGGAAUUCCAGGUGUAGCGGCGAAAUGCGUAGAUAUCUGGAAGAACACCAGUGGCGAAGGCGGUCAACUGGCCCGUAACUGACGCUCAGGCACGAAAGCGUGGGUAGCGAACAGG
rnacentral:rRNA from 1 species